rnacentral:lncRNA from 1 species
UGAUAGAUUGGCUAACUCUUCAGGUAGCUCACCAUUUAUAUUUAGCGCCUUGAGUUUACUAAAGAAUUCAUAGACAUACAUGCAUAUUAGGAUCAAAUUAAGUAGAUUGAUCAAAAUCUAGCAAGUCUAUAUAUAAGUAUAACACACAUACAUUUCAGAAACAUGACAAAAUUGGUUGUUGGAUGUGUUAGUGUUGCAUUCGCAUGUGAUCACCAUUGCUUUUCCGUUAUCGAAGGUCUUAUUCCAAUUGCCUUGGCCACUGCACGGAUCAACGCUGAAAUUCCAUAUAUUCAAUUUGUAUUUGGUGUGUAUCUGCCUCAGUAUUUUCACUGCAUGUAUAUGUAUGUAUACAUGGAAACUUGUUAAUUUUAGAAGAAGAAAAAUAUCAACUGAUUAACUCAACCCUUCUAUGAAUCGUAGUAAAAUAUUAAAGAUUUCUCGAUCAAGCACGAAAUCGUGGCAUGAGGUAUAAAAAUAGCAUGUCGUGUCUGCUAUUGCCACCCUAUUUUUACAUUAAACUCCAAAAAAAUCUUAACCUAAAUACCUUCAUCUGGAUCCAGAACCUUUUGUGCUAAAGCAGGCGUUAAAUAUCCAAAGGAGGAGAGUAGAAGUAGAAAAACAGCAAAGAUCUUUGAAAACCCUUCCAUCCUUUUUUCUUUUCUUUCUUCCUAAUUCUGAAAAAUGUCUGUCUGCAAUUAACUUAGAAACCAGUUGCUGUAUAUUAAUAGAUUUUUGUAAAUCACAGUGAGCCACAACUGCAUAUGUUAAGUAAAUCAAAAAAAUUGAUGGGCUAAAAUUAAUUAUCAUGUAAAUCUAAGAAAAACCCAUCAAUAUCAUAUUUUUAUACCAAUUGCAAAACAAAGUAGACUUUUGAAGUUCUAUCCAUC